rnacentral:lncRNA from 1 species
UCAGCUGCAGUUGUGAUAACCUCUUCUUCGAUGUCACCACUGUCCUGGACAACUGGUUCAGCCUGUAGAUCUCCAUCACCAGUACUACUGGUGGUCGAUGAAUCAACUGGCACAUCAAGAGAAUUUUCGGCAGGUAAGGAACUCCCCCUGUCCGAAGAGCCAGUCGGAGCCGCUAUUAUGUUGUAGCUCCAGUCAUCAUCAACAACGUCGACCAAAGUUGUUGUUGACACAGGUUCCUUGCGUGUUGCAUAAGGAAAAACAUCUUCCCGAAAAACUACAUCCCGAGAUAUGAGAAACUCGUUACGAUCCCUGUCAAACACUUUGUAACCCUUUUUCCCAAAGGGAUAACCGACGAAAAUACACAAACGACUC